rnacentral:rRNA from 1 species
UGCGCAGGCGGGAUUGCAAGUUGGAUGUGAAAUACCGGAGCUUAACUCCGGAACUGCAUCCAAAACUGUAGUUCUUGAGUGGAGUAGAGGUAAGCGGAAUUCCGAGUGUAGCGGUGAAAUGCGUAGAUAUUCGGAGGAACACCAGUGGCGAAGGCGGCCUGCUGGGCUUUUACUGACGCUGAGGCACGAAAGCAUGGGUAGCAAACA